GGAAACUAUAAUACAAAAAAAAAGUCAAAGUGUUUCAAACAGUCAAAGGCACAUUAGAUUUAAGACUUUGGGUUAUGCGUCUGAGGCUUUUUGAUCAGUUUUCUCAUCAUUUUUCUGCGGAGUAGACUUCUUGACUUGUUGAUGGUUGGUUUCUGACUCCCUGCUUUUCUACAGACAUUGUAGCAAUCUACUUCAGUAACGAAGUUAUUGGCAUUUCCACCACAGCCAGUGUACUUGAACUCCUUGCAUGAUUUACUCGUGGUAUCAUAGUAAUAACGGGGCACAGAAGAGGAACACAAUCCUUCAUCCUUUGGGCUAUAGCAUAACAAGGGACCAGUUUUCUCUGGCAGACAGUGAUCCACACAGGACUGCAGGUCCUUGAAGUUGUUGCCGUUCCCGUAGCAGCCCCCGUAGAUGAACUCCUCACACCUCAUUGAACUCAAGUUGAAGGCAUAUCUUCUUAUGUAUCCUCGGCAGGGCCCUGUGUCAGCCUCCAUUCGGCAGAGUUUGGGCACUUUCUUGAUGGUCCAGCAGUUCUUCUCGCAGUCGUCGUGGCUGAGGAAGUUGUUGGCGUUGCCGUGGCAGCCGCCGUAGCUGAACUCCUGGCAGCUCUGCGUGUACCUAUCGUAGUACCAGCGCGGUACCAGGGCGCGGCACGGCCCGUCGUCGGGGGGCAGCAGGCAGGCGCGCUGCUUCUCUGUGAGGCCGCGCGGCGCCAGGGCGGCACAGGCCAGCGGCAGCAGCAGCGCGGGCAGCGGGAGGCGGCGGCCAGCGGCCAUGUCGCGGCGGCGGGCGAGAGGGACGGCUAGCAGCAGGGUCCCAGGAGCGGUCAGCGCUGCCCGGCCCGACGGCAGCGCUUUAUAUGCGCCGACACGGCUUCCCCGGGCCGCCUCCCUCC
rnacentral:lncRNA from 1 species